AAUGCACUGCCUCUUGCCUCACUUGUGUAAAGGCUGGGAAAAGAAAAAAAAAGCAUGCAGCAUGAAGUGCAGUAGCUAAAUACUGUGUUUUGCUUGACUAGGUACGCCUAAAUCCUGUUGGGCUCAGUGAUCUGUUUAAUGAUUCUUUUACUUGCUUUUAGAACGCUGCUGGUGUAUAGCCAUCUUCUUCAGCAUGUAAUGUGUGGAUGUACUUAUCGGUGAAUAGAAGCUAAAAUCAGCUCCGCUCGGUGCAGCCAUCGCUGCUGUUGGGAACCCGUGGACAGAAGCUGCCUCUCUGCAAGUGCACUGCAGGCUGCACAGAGCCUUAAACUCGCACAAGGGAUUUGUGAGCAGCCUGCUUGUUGAGAACAAAUCCUCAUCGAAAGGAACGCAUGACUUGCUGACCCUGGGUUCACAGAGCCUUCGUCCUGGCGCUUCCGCACCGCUGAGGAGUCGGCUGCUCUGAAAAUUGGAGUCCCCAGACUGGAAUGGAAGCUCCAACAAAGGACCUGUACGGUUUACAAAUACGCAUCGACUGGGGGACUUUGGGAGAGCUUUGUAAGAACGAUGGCAUUAGGAAAAGAGAGUGUUUCACAGGCAAGAAACCAGUGGAGGUCUAAGUUGAUAAAAAACAUGCUUCUGAAAAUGUGGGAUUUCCUCUUUGUAUUUUGGCUAAAACCCUGAGCUCUUUCUGCUUAGCUGUAGGUUGGCUUUUGGCCCUGGUCGUGUUGCUGUGGCUGUGCCAUAGGAAGGGAUGCUCGUCCCUGUGCAGAGCCACAGAGUGGAACUGCGCUCCUCCUCCACCAAACGCAGUGUUUGUGCACACAGGUGGCUGUGGCACGGAUGUCAGUGCCUUUUGUGUGUAUACAUGGAAACCAGAUAAGAAUUUAUUUUAAAACAUACACAUAAUAAACUUCUAUAUACU
rnacentral:lncRNA from 1 species